GUGAUUGAAGGAUUUAAUCUCGGAUGUCACUGAUUUCAGUGACAUUCGAGGUUAAAUCCUUCAAUCAC